rnacentral:rRNA from 1 species
CAGUAGCCGCGGUAAUACGUAGGGUGCGAGCGUUAAUCGGAAUUACUGGGCGUAAAGCGUGCGCAGGCGGUUAUAUAAGACAGAUGUGAAAUCCCCGGGCUCAACCUGGGACCUGCAUUUGUGACUGUAUAGCUAGAGUACGGUAGAGGGGGAUGGAAUUCCGCGUGUAGCAGUGAAAUGCGUAGAUAUGCGGAGGAACACCGAUGGCGAAGGCAAUCCCCUGGACCUGUACUGACGCUCAUGCACGAAAGCGUGGGGAGUAAACAGGAUUAGAGACCCGAGUAGUCCCUGUCUCUUAUAC